GCGGUUUUUUAAGUCUGAUGUGAAAGCCUUCGGCUCAACCGAAGAAGUGCAUCGGAAACUGGGAAACUUGAGUGCAGAAGAGGACAGUGGAACUCCAUGUGUAGCGGUGAAAUGCGUAGAUAUAUGGAAGAACACCAGUGGCGAAGGCGGCUGUCUGGUCUGUAACUGACGCUGAGGCUCGAAAGUAUGGGUAGCAAACAGGAUUAGAUACCCUGGUAGUCCAUACCGUAAACGAUGAAUGCUAAGUGUUGGAGGGUUUCCGCCCUUCAGUGCUGCAGCUAACGCAUUAAGCAUUCCGCCUGGGGAGUACGGCCGCAAGGCUGAAACUCAAAGGAAUUGACGGGGGCCCGCACAAGCGGUGGAGCAUGUGGUUUAAUUCGAAGCUACGCGAAGAACCUUACCAGGUCUUGACAUACUAUGCAAAUCUAAGAGAUUAGACGUUCCCUUCGGGGACAUGGAUACAGGUGGUGCAUGGUUGUCGUCAGCUCGUGUCGUGAGAUGUUGGGUUAAGUCCCGCAACGAGCGCAACCCUUAUUAUCAGUUGCCAGCAUUAAGUUGGGCACUCUGGUGAGACUGCCGGUGACAAACCGGAGGAAGGUGGGGAUGACGUCAAAUCAUCAUGCCCCUUAUGACCUGGGCUACACACGUGCUACAAUGGAUGGUACAACGAGUUGCGAACUCGCGAGAGUAAGCUAAUCUCUUAAAGCCAUUCUCAGUUCGGAUUGUAGGCUGCAACUCGCCUACAUGAAGUCGGAAUCGCUAGUAAUCGCGGAUCAGCAUGCCGCGGUGAAAUACGUUCCCGGGCCUUGUACACACCGCCCGUCACACCAUGAGAGUUUGUAACACCCAAAGUCGGUGGGGUAACCUUUUAGGAACCAGCCGCCUAAGGUGGGACAGAUGAUUAGGGUGAAGUCGUAC
rnacentral:rRNA from 2 species